GCUGAACCAACUACAAAAGAGUCUCAUUUCCAACUUUUUUUGAAGGUUCCACAAGCGUUGGGUUAAGUGACCGGGUGAGGGUCACCAAACUUAGAAGGUGCAUUCCUUUAUUUUUUUCUCUUUUUUUUUUGGAACACUCACUUAUAUUCAUCGGCUUCCCUGUGUAGAGUGUGUGUGAGAUGGUGCUGACUGCUGAAAUAAACUACUCAA
rnacentral:lncRNA from 1 species